rnacentral:lncRNA from 1 species
GGCGGACGGCGCCAGCUACCUGUCGGCGCGGCCCUACUGCCGGGCGCUCCGGCGCAGGACGGGCAGCAUCUCCAGCUCGCUCCCCAAGGUGUUCGCGCUCGGCUCCUUCCUCCAGCGCCUCGACUCCUCCCGCCACCACCAUCACCACCACCACCCCGACGAGGUCGUCCACGACCACGACCUCGCCGGCGAGGACAAGGACACCGACGCCGACGACGCCACCUCCGUCGCCAGCCUCGACG